UAUGACAUAGGGAAUGAAGUCUCCCUCAUAAAUGCCAAUUGGCUGAUGACUUCUGCAGAAAA
rnacentral:ncRNA from 2 species